GCGGACGUGGUGCACGGUGCACUCCUUCAUUUCAUUCAAUCUUCCCAAAAAAGUGUUGAAGGCUUCGGGGUUCGACUCCCCGCGUCCGCA